rnacentral:rRNA from 1 species
AGGGCUUGACAUGCGCGUGAAGCGGCGGAGACGCCGUGGCCGAGAGGAGCGCGCACAGGUGGUGCAUGGCUGUCGUCAGCUCGUGCCGUGAGGUGUUGGGUUAAGUCCCGCAACGAGCGCAACCCCCGCCGCGUGUUGCCAGCAAUUCGGUUGGGCACCCGCGCGGGACCGCCGGCGUCAAGCCGGAGGAAGGUGGGGACGACGUCAAGUCAUCAUGCCCCUUAUGUCCUGGGCCGCACACGUGCUACAAUGGCCGGCACAGCGGGAUGCGACCGCGCGAGCGGGAGCGGACCCCUCAAAGCCGGCCCCAGUUCGGAUCGGAGGCUGCAACCCGCCUCCGUGAAGUCGGAGUUGCUAGUAAUCGCGGAUCAGCACGCCGCGGUGAAUGCGUUCCCGGGCC